UACAGAGGGUGCGAGCGUUAAUCGGAAUUACUGGGCGUAAAGCGUGCGUAGACGGUAGCGUAAGUCAGAUGUGAAAGCCCCGGGCUCAACCUGGGAACUGCAUUUGAGACUGCUCUGCUCGGGUGCGGAAGAGGGAAGCGGAAUUCCUGGUGUAGCGGUGAAAUGCGCAGAUAUCAGGAGGAACACCGGUGGCGAAGGCGGGUCUCUGGGCAGUAACUGACGCUGAGGAGCGAAAGCGUGGGGAGCGAACAGG
rnacentral:rRNA from 1 species